GAUGAACGCUAGCUACAGGCUUAACACAUGCAAGUCGAACGGCAGCAUAGGAGCUUGCUCCUGAUGGCGAGUGGCGAACGGGUGAGUAAUAUAUCGGAACGUGCCCUAGAGUGGGGGAUAACUAGUCGAAAGACUAGCUAAUACCGCAUACGAUCUACGGAUGAAAGUGGGGGAUCGCAAGACCUCAUGCUCCUGGAGCGGCCGAUAUCUGAUUAGCUAGUUGGUGGGGUAAAAGCCUACCAAGGCAACGAUCAGUAGCUGGUCUGAGAGGACGACCAGCCACACUGGGACUGAGACACGGCCCAGACUCCUACGGGAGGCAGCAGUGGGGAAUUUUGGACAAUGGGGGCAACCCUGAUCCAGCAAUGCCGCGUGAGUGAAGAAGGCCUUCGGGUUGUAAAGCUCUUUUGUCAGGGAAGAAACGGUAGUAGCGAAUAACUACUACUAAUGACGGUACCUGAAGAAUAAGCACCGGCUAACUACGUGCCAGCCGCCGCGGUAA
rnacentral:rRNA from 1 species